rnacentral:rRNA from 1 species
AUUGAACGCUGGCGGCAUGCUUUACACAUGCAAGUCGAACGGUAACAGGGAGCUUGCUCCGCUGACGAGUGGCGAACGGGUGAGUAAUGCGUCGGAACGUGCCGAGUAGUGGGGGAUAACGCAGCGAAAGUUGUGCUAAUACCGCAUACGUACUGAGGUAGAAAGUGGGGGACCUUCGGGCCUCACGCUAUUCGAGCGGCCGACGUCUGAUUAGCUAGUAGGUGAGGUAAAGGCUCACCUAGGCGACGAUCAGUAGCGGUGCUGAGAGGAUGAUCGGCCACACUGGGACUGAGACACGGCCCAGACUCCUACGGGAGGCAGCAGUGGGGAAUUUUGGACAAUGGGCGAAAGCCUGAUCCAGCCAUGCCGCGUGUCUGAAGAAGGCCUUCGGGUUGUAAAGGACUUUUGUCGGGGAGGAAAUCCCCAGCGUUAAUACCGCUGGGGGAUGACAGUACCUGAAGAAUAAGCACCGGCUAACUACGUGCCAGCAGCCGCAGUAAAAC